AUGGACUUAGGGCUUAUACUGAUUUUUUCUGUCCUUAUUUUAAAAGGUGUUCAGUGUGAGGUGCCGUUGCUGGAGUCUGGGGGAGGCUUAGUGCAGUCUGGAAAGUCCCUGAAACUCUCCUGUGCAGCCUUUGGAUUCACCUUGAGUGGUUCUGUCAUGAACUGGUUCAGCCAGGCUCCAGGGAAGGGACUGGUUUGGGUGGCAUACAUUAAUUACAAUGGUGGUACCACCAGUUAUACUGACGCUGUGAAGGACUGGUUCACAAUCUCCAGAGACAAUGCCAAGAACACUCUGUACCUAGAAAUGAGCAGACUGAGGUCUGAAGACACAGCCAUCUAUUACUGUGCAAGAUACACAACAGCAUCUCACAGUGAACCUGGAGAGCACAUGUUCAAAUACAUUCUUGGAAUGGCAAGUCUUAGAGAACCUCCAGUCACAAUGCACCCAGUUCUGGGAAUAUAG